rnacentral:lncRNA from 1 species
UUCUCAAACAUGCAUUUGAUGUCUUUACACUUCUCAGGAGCAGUUGCCUUGAGAUGCCCACUGCCUGCUGGCACAGCAGAUGGUCAUUUCUUCUGAGCAAUGGAGUCCCCACUGAGUCAUGGAGUCGGUGUGGCCUGGCAUCCGCGGUGCACCCUGUGCUGGUGGAUGGCUCAGGACGCAGCAGUUUGUCAUGAGAGGUCUACCACUUGCCGGCAAAGAAGAUGGUCAAUUCUUCUGACCGACGGAGGCUGCCUUGAGUCCUUGAUUUGGUGUGGCCUGGCAUCUAUGGUGCACCCCAUGCUGGGGCAGUUGCCGUGGAAGGCCCGCAGCCUGCUGCAAGGAAGAUGGUUGAUGCUUACGAGCAACAAAGGCUCCACGGAGUCGUGA